rnacentral:tRNA from 1 species
GCCAGAAUGGCCGAACGGUAAGGCGCACGCCUGGAAAGCGUGUUCCCUUUGGGAUUCUGGGUUCAAAUCCCAGUUCUGGCG